GUGCCCGCUGCCUCUUGGCCUGUCCCUGGGCACCACUAAGAAGAAUCUGGCUUCAUCUUCUUUAGUCCACCAUGUCAGGUGCGGCAGCAGAGACGUGCUGCUUCUGAAGAGGUUGGGUGGAAGCACAGCAAGUUGAGACAACAGCAGUUUAACUUCCCUUAGGAGAUGCCUUUUAAACUCUCUAACCAAUGAUUUUGCGAGACUACACUUUCACCUCAGCUUUUCUUAUUUCCCACACUCAAAAAAAGCUUAUGUAAGAAGUGAGCCCUUAGCAAGCUGAGUAGCUCAUCAGUAUGCAAGACAAACAUCAGUAUGGUUAUGGAACAAUGAAAAAAACACCCUAUUUUGACUAAAAAAGGAGAAUCCUGGAAAAUUUCAUUUAUCUCAUCUCACUGUCUUACACAGAAGAGUGUGAUAACGUGGCUGGAAUUAGAUGUUUGUACUUACAUACAGUUUCUUGCUGCCAAGUCUCUAUGGACAAACUUUUUGCUUGCAAGGUAUUUCAUCCCUUUUGCGACCUGAAGGCCAAAUCCAAUUAAGUCUUUUACUGUUGGGUUCUGUAAAAUACAAACAUUUGUGAUACAAUGAAUGCAGAAGCCCAAGGAGCAGAUGGUUGUUUUUUUGCUGUGACUUUCAGUUUUUGACACACCUAUCUUGCCAUCAGAAUGAUCAAGGCAGGUCAGUGCUCGUAAUAAAGCUGGCGUAAGCUUAGGUCAGGUUCUUACCUCCCGUGAGGAAACACACUUUAAGAAAUCAACAAAACCGACAGACUCCAGAAGAGUGGAGUUUGCAGCAUAAGCAGCAUGACGUGGGCUGAGAAGUGGAACAGUAUGCUGAAACCUCAACAUCACAGCUGGUACACAAAAUUCAAAUUUGUGAACUUAGAGUAAUAGCAUGUAACUCAGUAGAAGGUGCUAACUAUGAACUUGGAGCUCAUCAGCUGGAAAUGACCAAGAAAGGAGAGAGUCCUAUUUGGGGCAAAAUAGGUGCAAGCUAUUAUCAGUAUGAUGCCAUGGAAAAGGCAAAUGAGACCUUAGCAGUUACCAGAGGAAGAUUUUCCACAAAGUGGUAACUCUUUCUGCUGGUCUACAAGAUAAGAAGAAAAAACAUUGAUAAUAACGGGACUAUGACACUCUCUAGCUGGACGUGAAGAUCCCUUACCUAGGAGUUGGAAGAGCAGAUGGUGACGACUGGCACAGCUGUGCUGAAGCCAACAGAGAUAUGCCAGUUUAAACCAGCAGAUGGUUGGGCCCCUUGACUUCGAUCUCAUAAACACAUUUGUUUAUAAAGAGGCUUAUGGAUGGGAAAUGAGAAAUACUUACUGCUGAUAAUUUCUGGGAAACAUUCUAGAGAGGAAUUUGAGGGGGAAGGGAAGGAGUGGCAGCGCUGCGGUCGGGCUCGGUGCCAGCCUAGUCAAGUGCUAAAGGUUAAGGUGUAGUAACAGCAGCAAGUUAUAGACGUAAUGUAAUUACCAGAGCUUAUAACCUGUGGUGGUGGAGCAGGGCGUGGCUAGACUUGCAUUACCGUUUGGUAGACCUCACCAUGUACUUACAUGAGUCUCAUUCCUAAUGAAGUUUCGAAGAUCUCCGUGUUUCAUGUAUGGAAGAACGACUAAGGGGGAUCCUUCAUUGGGCAAACAGAUUCCCAAGAGUG